GGGGUUGUGGCUCAGGGGUCGAGCACUUGCCUAGCAUGCAAGAGGCACUGGGUUCAAUCCUCAGCACCA
rnacentral:tRNA from 1 species